UGAUACAUGACGCUGAAACUAUCAUGGCUCAACACAAGAGCUGCCAAGCACAAACAACUAACAAGACCACGAAAUCCGACUUGAUACAAUGCUAGUAAGUUGAAAUUCCCUGGAUCAGGUAUUCAAAAGCAUCUUGCUACAUUAUAGAGACUUGGCUAGAAUAAGACACAGUAAGUUGUUUUAGGUAACAUAUAAACACUGCCGACGGCAUUUAUGGAAUGCGACAAAUUCAGUGACAACUAACAUCUGCAGCAGCCCUUCUUCACCUGGGAAAAACAAAAGCACUAAUCUGUUACUAACUUGAUACAGACGCAGAUAUAAAUUCUAACAGUAACAUAUAGGAGUAUAUAACAGUGUAUGAACAAGACAUGUGUACAAACUCAUGGUCAGCACUGCAACACAAAGAAGAGCUAUACAAUACCCCCACCCUCACCCCCUAAAAAGGAAGAGCUAUAUCAUAUUGCUGACUAUAUCUCCUCGAAAUACAGAUGGCAACAAAGUAAAUCUUCCAACCUUAUCACAUGAAUGUGAGGUGAUGGAGUUGAAUGACGCAGCUGAUGCUUGUAGUAACGAAAUUGGCAACUAAUAUAUAUUGAUUGCAACUUAUAGAUUAUGAAACAGCUAAACCAAAGGGGAACUCUGGGGAUACAACGUCUGCAUAUCAUUUAUGAUCCAAAAAAGAGCAAUUUUUUACUUAGCAUCACCACCAUUUUAAUUUUUUUCUGCGUUAUUAGCAUGUCUGAAUCCCUAUAGUCGAAUGGACAGUAGUUUGAGGAUACAUGCUACCCACACUGGCCAUCAAAUAUUUUCCAAAGUGAAAAUCAAACAGUUCAAUUCUCAGAAACUAUAUUCAGAAGAUUCUUACCUGUUACCAUUUCAGCACAUUAGAAGAUCAAACCAAACUACCACCUUGUGUAUCAUGCAUCAUGUCAGCUCCAUCAAAUCCACCAGCAAUAGAUGUGCCUAGAAGCAUAAGGCAAUCAUUUAAUAAAGUUUCAACAAAAAUAUAAAUGGAUAUGAGAAGGCAACAGUGAGUAUAUUACAUAGAUGAAUUGACAAAUAUAAGAAAAAUAUGCACUCUUGUAUUUACGUUUUACAACUAACUAGUAAGAAAUAAAACUAUAUAUGUUGCUUUUUGCAAGGAAUAUUCAUUUAAACAAUAUACAUAUACAUACGUAUCUCAUAAUAAAGUUUAGCUUAUAAGAAAGAUAGACAUGGCCUAGCAUUGAUCUCAUUUAACUCAUCACUCCUCAUUUCAAGAAGACAAAAUAGAAACAUGCGAAAACUCAUAAACAAUACCGGGAAAAGUGAUCUUGGGUAUUCAAAUUAAGUAAACAGAGCAUGCUUAGAGACAACAAAUGCGGAAAAAAGGUGUGUUGCAUAAGUCACUUGCAGGACGAAUACAACUACGUUGAAUGAUAACACAAAGAAGGCCAUAAGCUUGUCUAUCUAGGAAAUGAAUAUGAAGCAUGAAGACAAAUAUAUUGAAUGAUAACAUAUAUUAAACAAUAUAGCUAUAAGUUUGUCUAUCUAGCAAAUGGACGGUAACUAAGUUUAAGCCGUUACACUUGAGAAUCGCAACAGGAGGUAUUCGAACAUGCAUGUACAGAACACACCGAGAUUAAGUUACUCCGACAAUACGAGGACUAAGGAUGAAAAAUCACCUGGAGGAUAGAAACUGGUGAAAGAAUGAUAGCGAGUUAAAUAACCGUUUUCACAAAGUUUUUUAGGCUUCAUCGACUUAAGUUGAACCUUAUAGGCACCACAGCCCACAGAUAGAAGUAUUUCAUCACUAUCCUCAAGGGAUCCCAAUAUACGUCUCACAACUGCCCUCUUUCCUUGAAUCUGUUUAGGGAGCCCAAUAAUCAUACGCAUAUCAAUUGUUUUCCAUAGCACCCAUGUGGCAACACCAUGAAAAUUGAUAUUCCUCUGCCACAUUUGUAAGUGAGGGUAAGACAAUAUGGCGAACCCAAUCACGCCAUCCCCAGCCUGGAUGAUGCAAUGACUACCAUGGCGAAAAUCAUUUGUAAGAGGAGGCCCCCUAAUCACAGCUAGGCUCUGCUCAUCCAAAUCAAACUUAAGUAUAUCAUUGCCUAUAGAAUCCAACAACCAGUAAAGGGCAUUACCAACAAGCAACCCAGGGGUAUGUUCGUAAAAAAGCUCAAAUGAAACGGUUGAUGGAAUGAUAUCACCCCAUUCACCAAUCUCCGAGGAGUAAACACACGCGAUAGGUUGAUUAUUCCCUCCGAAAACGGAGAUCAACACCACAUUGAAUGGGCUCAAGUGGCAGCUUCCGUGCACGUGGUCAUGGUCGAUGGCAGCACAGAGCACAGCCCCGGUGAACCGGUUCCUUACGAACUCUGCCGGAACGGUCAAGCGGUGCUGCUCGCCGGUGAUAGGUGCGCACAUGAUGACCUCAUCCCAUAGUGUGUCCAUGAGAAGGACGCGGCCGUGGCGGCAAUCAAGCAGUUCCACCAUCCACAUGUUGUGGCUGUCGGUGUCCAGGAGAUGCAGGUCGAAACGACUUGGAGGGAUUCGGUCGGGACGGUCCAUGACGGGGGUGAAGACGAUAUCAUCCUUGCGGCGGUGGAAGAGGCCGAGGAGGGGCGGCUUCCGGUGGUGGAGGCGGAAGCGGCGGAGGAACUUGGGGUCGGUGGCCGCGCACCGCCACUGCUUGCAGACCGCGGAGGCCCGGACGAGCAAGGAGGGCUGCGGCGGGAGAUGAAGGAGGAUCUCCCUCAGGAGGUCGUCGUCUUCGAUCGGCGACGCCAGCGCCGGCGGGAAGACUCCGCGGCGGCAGAUCACUUCAGCGCCCUCGCUAGUCGCGCGGAUCUGGGAACGGGAGCGGCGGCGAGCCACUCCGGCAACCUCCUCGCUCGCGUGAAGCUGGGGAUGGCGGCGGGUCACUCCGACGGCCUCGUCACUCGCCUGGGUUUGGGGCCUGCGGCGGCGGCGGCCGCCGUCCUCGCUCUCUUUCAUUUGGGCGGCGGCGGCAAGACCUAGCUAGCGACACCACACCACACAGGGAGUAACGGGGAGCGGAGUGGUGAGAGUAGCAGAGACGAGUUCACCGUGCACUCGGACUUAGUGGUUGUGUUGGGCCCCCGUUGUGUUCACCCGAUAGCUGCAUCUGCAAAAUGGGCAACAAAUCUUUUUCUACAGCUUCGUCAAACAUUUCUCUUUGUUGUAGCGCAGAAAAAGGAAUAUAUCCAUUUUAUUAUAUUAUUGCACACAACCUAACAAAACAAACACAUGAGUCAAUCUGAAGUCAUCUUCCUAACAACUAUUGUCCCCACAUCUACAAUCUUGAUGACGUGCCCUUACCACAUAUCAACACUACAUUUAUUCCGGUGGCCACAAGCAGCCCGCUGGCAGACGGAGAGAACCAACAGUUCUAGUUAGACCCUCUGCACACCGUAGGUGCACACUCUACGAUCGGUUGCUGCCAUCUUCCAUCGUCCCACCUUCAGGAGUGAUCAGUGUAUCCACAUCGUUAGGCCAUAUUGUUGUCGAUGACACCGCAAUGCCAGACGACACCAACAUCCUGCACGUAUCCAUCCACACGCGCCCGUCACUGAAACUUGGCUACACCAUGCCCCCGAGAUCCGCCUUCGGCCUUUCGGUAGAUGUAACACCGCUCCUCCUCUUGUCCCCUCCAGCCAGCACUUGCUCCAAAAUGAUGCCUCCAGGAGGGAGAACAUCACCGAAUGCGCCAUCCUCGUCCAAUCCGGUGGACCCAGAUCUAGGGUUUCCCCUAGAACAUCCCGAUCAAGUUGACGUGACCUACAACGACAAUGACUCGAGAAAGAAACGACGUCAGAGAUGCCGCCAUUGUCCGCCAAGACCGCAGUUAAGCGCGAUUUUCACCGGAAGCCGCGUCGUCCCGAUCUCGCGGCUGGCUAGAACCACGCGGAACCUCGCCAUGAAGACGUAUGUCACCGCCAGUCUCCGGCAGGCAUCCUCCAUCCCCUCACCGAACCCCUCAUCGCGUCGCCGACCAUCCAUGUGAAGAACUGACGAUGAAUCUGGGUGGGAUCCAGAUCCAUGGCCGCCGACAUGCCCACCAUCGCUAGAGAACUCAUCGGUUCCAGGCGACUAUGGGGGCUAGCACCGUCGCCACACGACCAGGGGCGCCGCCCUGGCCGCUGUGCACGUGCUCCUCCAUGGACUCGCCCGAGUAGAUCCAUGAGGGUCGCCGCCGCAUCCAACCCCCCAACCCCUUAGGUGUUGGGCCCGCCGCCACCGCGGCCUAUGCCAGCAUCGGCGGAGGGGAGGUCGCGUUGUGGUUGGCUGUUGGCGUGCUUGAGAUCGCUCCCAGCGCGCCCUGGGGAGGCAUCGCGUGGGGGUCGCAAGAGGUUGCUUGAGGUAGCGCAGCUAGCUAAGGACCAUUUUGAGACAUACUCCCUUCGUAAAGAAAUAUAAGAGCAUCAUGUAAUAUUUUGCUUUUGGCUGUUGCUGCUGAUAGGGAAAAAAAUUCUAUAAGACCGGGUCUUACGGAUUAGCAGGUGAGACUCAUACUGAUGAAUGACAUGUGGCAUUCACAAAUCACAAAGCAUUUAUCCCACCCCCAUCUAAAAUCAGGGGAGAGAUUAGAUGCUUUGUGAUUCGUGAAUGCCACGUGUCAUCCAUCAGGACGGGUCUCACCUACUUUAUAUGAGACCUGGUCUUAUAUAAUUUUUUUCCCUGCUGAUAGUAUUUGUUUUCUGUUAUGCCAAGAACGUUUAAAGUAAAUAUGAACCGAUAGGCAAGGAUUUUGCAUCUUUCAACAAAAGAAAAGAAAAAGCUUCAGACCCAGCCCGUCAUUUAUGAACUCUUAAUAUGGCUGUCAUUAAGAUCCUAUAGAAUAAAUUUAGUUCUUCUGCUGUAUCUUGUAAUAUUAAUGCUUUUUCAUGUAAAAUUAACUCAAGAGAAGCGGCUUUAGAUUGUACUAAUUUGGAAAGAUACAGCAUACAAGUGUUCUACUCAUUUCAUUUGGCACAUGAUACAACAGACAAAUAUUUUACUCUAGAUAAGCGGCCUCAUAUUUCCGUUCUCCUUCUCCAUUUUUCUAUUUUAAAAUUUUUAAAGUUCAUGAAUAUUUUAAAUUUGAAUAAACCGACCGGAAUAAGAAAAAAAAACCAACCAAGCACGCUAUGUAUGACUGUAGUCAACGGGAGGACGUCCACGGCCAACCACGAAGACUAUAUCUCGCUUCGCGCGAGUGUAGCUUCCGUCUCGCUUGAAGGUUUUUGUUCCCUCGUCAUAACUGGGCUGGCCCGUUUCAUUGCUUUACAAGCCAAAGCAAUCCUUUGAUGUUCAUAUUCGCAUCAAUAACUGUUAGAAUAUAUAACCGUAUUGUUUUGUAUAUAUAGGUGUACGAUAUGAACUUUGCCUUGUAUUGUACGAUAUGAACUUUGCCUUGUAACCUCUAUAUAUUGAUCAAUACAAGGCACCACAACGUGUGGUUUCCAUAAUCUUACAUGGUAUAGAGCCUAAAACCCUAACCCUAGCCUGUGCCGCCCUCCUCCUUCCGCUGCCACCGAAACCACCGCCCCUCUCACCGCCGUGCCCACACCGCCACCUCCAUGUUGCAGCCCGACACGGACACGACGAACCAGGCGCUGGCCGCGGCCAAGGAGCAUCAGGACGCCGAGGCCGAGGCCGCCAAGGCCAAGCUGCCUCUCGCGACCGAUGCCGAUGGAUCCGGGACGAGUGCGGGGUGCUUCUCCUUGACCUUGCUCCAUGCCCAAGCCGUCGGCCUGCACUCCAUUAAGGGACACAUUCCCGUCGAGCUCGCGCUUGACACCGGUGUUCACCGUCAGUGGCACACCUUCUUCCGCGCCGCCUGCCGCAAGUAUGCCCUCCUGGAUCACCUCGACUUUGACGCCCCCAACGCGUCGACCCCGGACUGGUCUCUCCUCGACGCCACCAUCGUCUCUUGGCUCUAUGAGUCUGUCUCGCUCAGCAUCCUCGAUGAUGUCAUGACGCCCGAUGACGAUCCACUCACCGUCGAACUCUGGAAUAGCAUCAACAGACUCUUCAACGACCAUAAGAUCAAUUGUCAGCUCCACCUCACGGCCGAGCUCGACGAUGUCAAGAUGGGAGAGAUGAGCAUGGCCGACUAUCUUCAGAAGGUCAAGUCCCUCUCCGAUGGGCUUGCGGAUCUUGGCGCCCCCGUUGAUGAUGCCGAGAUGGUGGUCCACUGCCUCAACGGCCUCUCCGAGCAAUACAAGUCCGCCGCCGAUCUAAUCUCCCUCAUGCUCGAUAUGACCUUCGCGCAGUGCUGCUCGUUGCUUGCGCUCCAGGACAUGAAGCGCAAAAAUCGCCGCCCGCGCAACUCGUACACGGCCUUCUUCACCAACACCGCCACUGGCAACCCUGGCAAGGCCUCUGGAAAAGGAAAGAAGAAGAAGAAGGCCGCCGCUGGAGUCGCCAAGGAGACCAUCCCGGCGCCCGCGACACCGCCGGCUGCCACUCCUUCCUGGCCCUCGCCACAGCAUCCCUGGAACGGUGCCAUCCAGAUGUGGCCAUAUGGCCAAGGGGGUCUGCUCGGCCGUGCACCGCCCGGCUACGCCUCGGCUCCCAGCUAUGCGCCCCGGCACACCCCAUCGCCGCAUGCGUUAUAUGCUCAGAACCCGUACAGCAUUGCCCCCUACGGUAACGGCUACGCCCCUGGACAGCCCUCCUACGGACUCACCGGCCCGGCUCCAUCAUCACCGGCAUCGACAACGGCUUCAUGGGACCAGGCCGCGCUCAUGCAUCAGUUCUAGACCAUGGGGCUGCAAGCACACACCAGGGAGUGGGUGAUGGACACUGGCGCCUCCUCCCACUUCGUGUCCGAUCCCGGUAUGCUCACCUUCGUGUCUCCCCCUCCUCUCAUUGUGCUGUCAUUGUCGGUAACGGUUCCACCCUUCCAAUCACCAGUACCGGGCAUGCACGUCUUCCUAUCUCCACCACCUCUCGUCCCCUUUAUCUUCGUAAUGUCUUAGUGGUUCCUAACAUAGUUAAAAACCUUUUGUCUGUUCGCCAGUUCACCAUUGAUAAUCGUGUAUCCAUCGAAUUUGACCCUCUUGGUUUUUCUGUAAAGGAUCUUCUAACCAGGACCGAGAUUCUCAGAUGCAAUAGCUUCAGCGCUCUCUACUCCAUCUGUCCUUCCUCUACCAGCCAGCAACAUGCCUUCCUCGUCGUCGAUGCAGCACUCUGGCACCGUCGGCUUGGACAUCCUGGGCGACCCGUCAUGGAGUCAUUAGCUCGUUCUUCGAUCAUCCCUAGGGAAAAGAAUAAAAGUAGUUUGUGUCAUGCUUGUCAGUUAGGUCGUCACGUUCGUCUUCCUUUUUCUUCCACCAAUUGUGUAACCACUACUCUGUUUCAAAUAAUUCACUAUGAUCUGUGGACAUCUCCUGUUGAGAGUAUUUCUGGCUUUAAGUAUUAUCUCAUUUUGUCUCGAUAAUUUUACUCAGUAUGCAUGGGUUUACCCUCUUCGGUCUAAGUCAGAAGCUUUCUUGCACUUAUCGUCCCUUCAUGCUUUAGCGCUCACCCAGUUUAGUGCACGCUUGCGGGCUAUUUAGUGUGAUAAUGGUCGUGAGUUCGAUAGUUCACUCCUCCAUUCAUUUUCCCAUCACCAUGGAAUUGCACUCUGCUUUUCAUGUCCAUACACUUCGCAACAGAAUGGUAAAGCCGAACGUAUUAUUCGUACUCUUAAUGACAUUACUCGUACACUCCUCAUCCAAGCUAGCAUGUCACCUCGUUUCUGCGUCGAAGCUCUUCACACCGCUGUUAUGUUGCAUAAUCGACUGCCUUCCAAGGCAAUCUCGGAUCGCAUUCCCUUUCGUGCCUUACUUCGCGUGGAUCCUCCAUAUGCUGGUCUUCGGGUUUUCGGUUGUCUAUGUUACCGCAACACCACCGCCGUUGCUCCGCACAAACUUGCGCCUCGCUCCAUGCCAUGCGUGUUUCUAGGGUACCCAUCACGUCAUCAUGGCUAUCGUUGCCUUGAUCGCUCCACCCAAAAGAUCAUCAUCUCCCGCCAUGUAGUGUUGAUGAGUCAGGCUUUCCCUUUGCCUCCACUCCAUCUUCGUCAACUCCUACUCCUUCCAUGCACACUUAUGAUUUUUUGCAGGGUACUGAGCAGCCGGUGUCGUUGAUGCCGUUCACCGUGCCAGGCACAGCAAUCUCGGACGCGACCCCACGGUCGCCGUCACGAUCGCCGCCACCGACCUCGCCUAUGUCGCCGCCACUGACCUCGCCUCGGUCGCCUGGGGAACGGGCUUCUGUCGAGCGCCCUACCGGGGGCCUUGAUGGCGGCCCUGCUAGGAGUCCUUCUCCUGCUGCAGCAGCGUCACCACCGGCCACGUCGUCGCCAGCUCCUGCUGCUGUGGAUCCACCCCGGACCCGCCGGCCGCGGGGUCCCCCACCGCCACCAUCUCACCCCAUGGCCACUCGUGCUAAACAUGGUAUUGUGCAGCCGAAAAAGAUUUUUGAUCUUCAUGUUGAGGGUUUAUCUCCAAUACCGAAGACUUAUCGUGGUGUUCUCAAGGAUCCAAACUAGCAUUCCGCUAUGGUUGAGGAGUAUGGUGCUCUUCUCUCCAACAACACUUGGGACCUCGUUGAUCCACCUCGCAAUGCUAACAUCGUUACUGGUAAGUGGAUCUACCAUCACAAGAUGAAGUCUGAUGGUUCUUUGGAUCGCUACAAAGCUCGUUGGGUGCUCUGUGGAUUUACUCAGCACGAAGGUAUCGAUUUUGAUGAAACUUUCAGCUCUGUCAUCAAGCCAGCCACUAUUCGCACAGUGCUCUCUCUAGUGAUUGGUCGAUUCAUCAGCUUGACAUCAAGAAUGCGUUCCUCAACGGCUCUCUCACCAAGACUGUUUAUGCUCGUCAGCCUUCUGGUUUCACUGAUCCUCGCUUCCCUGAUAAGGUUUGCCGCCUCAACAAAUCACUCUAUGGUUUGAAACAGACGCCUCGAGCAUGGUUUCAGCGGUUUGCUUCAUUCAUUGCAUCAGUUGGUUUCGUUGGCUCCAAGUCUGACAGCUCGUUGUUCGUCUAUCAGCGUGGCGCUGACAUGGCCUACCUCCUGCUCUAUGUGGAUGACAUCAUCCUGACUGCGUCUUCCUCGACAUUGUUGCAUAGUUUGAUUGCCUCUCUUUGUACCGAGUUCAGUAUGACAAAUAUGGGUGAUCUUCAUUGCUUUCUGGGCAUCUCUAUCACACGCAGCAAGGACGGUUUGUUCCUCUCACAGGAGAAGUAUGCAUUGGAUCUUCUUGACCAAGCUGGCAUGUUGCAGCGCAAACCCAUCUCUACUCCCGUUGAUACUUCCUCCAAACUUUCAGCCAAGUCCAGUGAUCCAGUUGCAGAACCCACCGAGUAUCAAAGUAUUGCAGGCGGUCUUCAGUACCUCAUAUUCACUCGGCCAGACAUCUCUUAUGCUGUGCAGCAGAUUUGUCUUCAUAUGCAUGAUCCUCGGGCUAAUCAUUUGCUCCUUGUGAAGCGUGUGCUUCGCUUCAUCCGCGGCAUCACAUGGCCUCACUUUGUUUCGACGCAGCUGCAACAAAUUGAUGGCCUACUCUGACGUUGACUGGGCAGGUUGCCCUGACACUCGCCGGUCUACAUCUGGUUAUUGUGUCUUCCUCGACACUAACCUGGUAUCAUGGUCUGCUAAGCGGCGGCACACGGUCUCUCGCUCUAGCGCCGAGGCCGAAUACAGGGCAGUUGCAAAUGUAGUGGCUGAAACAUGUUGGUUACGGCAACUUCUUCAGGAGCUUCGUCGAUCGGUGACUGGUGUCACUGUGGUGUUUUGUGACAAUGUGAGCUCUGUUUACAUGACAGAGAAUCCCUUUCAUCAUCAACGCACCAAGCAUGUGGAGAUCGAUCUACACUUCGUACGAGACCGUGUCACCACGGGCGAGGUCCGGGUUCUUCACGUUUCGAGUUCUUCACAAUUUGCGGACAUUUUCACCAAAGGAUUGCCAUCCCCUCUCUUCUUGGAUUUUUGGGACAGUCUUAACAUUCGUGGACGCCCAUUUAUGAUUGAGGGAGGGUUUUAGGAUAUAUAACCGUAUUGUUUUGUGUAUAUAUAUAUAUAUAUAUAUAUAUAUAUAUAUAUAUAUAUAUAUAUAUAUAUAUAUAUAUGCGUAGUCCUUGUAUAGGUGUUCGUAUAUUGUACGAUACGAACUCUGCCUUGUAACCUCUAUAUAUUGAUCAAUACAAGGCACCACAACGUGUGGUUUCCCUAAUCUUACAAUAACAAAAUUUCCUAGAUUUGUAAGAACAAAGUUGUGCUCUAUGUUGAUCACUGCAUUCUUAGUACCUUCUAGGACUUUGAUAAUCUCAGACAUUUGAGUCCUUCUCUUGCAAUCAAUCUGUAGAUACCACAUUGCAAGCUUUAUCAUAUGAACUACUUCUUGCUCAUGUGGUUGCAUGUCGUUAAGUUCUUGUCAAUCAAAUUUACCAACUGAUCAGUCUUAACUUUUUCAUCAAAUAGGGUAAUAAGAUGGAUGCUCUCUUCAAACCGGGAAGUGUCGAGUUUCUUUCUUCCACUGGCAAUUUCCAUGAUCACAAUGCCAAAGCUAUAAACACCGUCCUUCUCUGGAGGCCAUAGUCUGGAGUGAAUAUCAGUGAUCAGUUUGGAAUGAGACUUACGCGCCGAAGCAGUAGCAGCUCCAGGGCUGGAUGUCUUUUUGAGUGGUUGAUCUAGCCGCCCAUUAAUAAGUUGUAAGUCAUGCCUUUUGAAGUGACCAUCAUGAAGGUCUAACUGAAUUUCAUUUUUUUUAUAUAAGAGGGAAAGAAUGGACUAUGGACACGUUUCUGCAAUAAUGCAGCUUAUGUUUCAGCAGAAUGACUCAAAUCCAGAGCUUUUUGAACAAUUUUUCCUGCACAAUGAGAGAACCGUUGUACAAUAGUGUCACCAAAAGAGGGAACAAUAUGGCUUCCAAAACGUUAUGACAAAUUUAAAAGCUAAAUAAAUAUGAACCUUUUCCUGUUGCCACCUAAAUAUAAAACGCUAAACAAAUGAAGUCAUUUUUUGUUCCAUUUGACAGCUAGAGGAUUUUGCUAUAAUUCCAAUCAGAAUAUUUAGGAUUUUUUCGUUUGCAAGCUGUGUGCAAUGGAGGAGAGCAUCAUCAGUCACACUGACUGCACCUAGGGGAAUAGUUGGCUGCAUGCCUGCAUUGCACCGGGAAGGUCCAGAACUCUGCUCUCUUGACUUUGGAACAAUAUAUCAUACUCCAAAUCAGAUGGUUACAGCGAUGGGAUGCUUGUGUUGGAAACGACGAGUAACUCAGAUGAGGCGUUCAGUUCAGGUUGAGGAGCUACCAGUGCAAGCAAGCCGCACAGCAUAAAUGGCAAUACCUUCGGAUCUGAACAGUUUUGAAACAAUAACACAUUAGUACUACUGAAACGCAUACUAGACUGCUGUAGAAAGUUCAGCCAGUCAAAACUCACAUGCACAUAUAUGGACGGGAGAAAGCUUGCCAUCAGCAGGAAACCGGUAUCCAUCUGAAUCUACAGGAAAUUAAUGGGAGCUUGUCAAUCAAACUGUAAAAACCCACAACUACAUGUUUUUUUUUCUUUGAGGAUACAACUCUGUGUUUAAUUCCACUUGCCAACAAGGAAGCUACUCACAGCAGUUUCAGUUGUCCAGUUCCUACCAUUCCGGGUAUCUUCAGCACCAAAUAGCUGAGUACGCUGGCUCAUAUGAACCAUUACAUGGCACUGACUCACUUCCAAGACAAGAAAGUAGACAAGCUGACAAGCACACUCAAACAAACAAGUUUCAGUGAUACAUGGCACUGAAACUAUCAUGGCUCAACAGAAGACCUGCCAGCCAAGCACAAACACUUAACAAGAACAAGAGACGAUGAAAUCCAACUUGAAAUAACACUAGUAAGCUGAAUUUCCUGGAUCAGGUAUUCAAAAGUAUCUUGCUACACUAGAGACUUGGCUAGACUAAGACACGGUAAGUUGUUUUAGAUAACAUAUAAACACUGCCGACAACAUUGAUGGAAUGCGACAAACUCAGUGACAACUAACAUCUCCAGCAGCCCUUCUUCACCUGGGGAAAACAAAA
rnacentral:lncRNA from 1 species